rnacentral:rRNA from 1 species
UCUAGAAGCUUCGACAAUGGACGAAAGUCUGAUCGAGCGACGCCGCGUGCAGGACGAAGGUUUUCGGAUCGUAAACUGCUUUCGACAGGGAAAAACGGUAUGUAGGCUAACACCCUAUGUAUUUGAUGGUACCUGGAGAAGAAGCCCUGGCUAACUCCGUGCCAGCAGCCGCGGUAAUACGGAGAGGGCAAGCGUUGUUCGGAUUUAUUGGGCGUAAAGCGCGCGCAGGUGGUUUAAUAAGUCGGAUGUUAAAGACCCACGGCUCAACCGGGGGAAUGCGUCCGAUACUGUUAGACUAGAGUGCGGGAGAGGUUAGUGGAAUUCAUGGUGUAGCGGUGAAAUGCGUAGAUAUCAUGAGGAACACCUGUGGCGAAGGCGGCUAACUGGCCCGCUACUGACACUGAGGCGCGAAAGCGUGGGGAGCGAACGGGAUUAGAUACCCCCGUAGUCC